UUUACACAAAAUAGUGUAUUCAGAGUGUUCAGCAUGUUGAAUAAUGUAAACUAAAAAGAAGAUUCAGAAAUCCAGAGAAACUUUGCCUACAGCAGUGCUGUCCAUUGGAAAUAUAAGAUUUCUUUGUAGUCAAUUAGGACUGCCCAUUAAAGUGGCAGAAUAAGCACAGUGCCUGCUGCUAUGAUGUGAUGGGCCGUGGGAAACACUUUUCGCCUAAAAUCACCUCCUGCAAUGGCCUACUUAAGGCAUUUGAUUCACCUAUGUUAACAAAUUCAACCUUAGGAUUCCAAGACCACUUCCCAUCCUGCUGGGGUUUGGCUGGCUCAGAAAACUGGUGCACAGAUCUUCUUUGUUCCUCCAGCUGAACUCAAAUACAAACCUUCAUCCUGAUGAGAUAACGGGCAAUCUGUGUUUUGUCCCACUCCAUUGCUGUAUAUGCAAUCAAGGUACCCUCUCAGGACCCAGUGAUAAUAUUAAUUACAAUCUCUUAUUUAAAAGGAGUUCCUGCCUGAAGGUCUCUAUGCAAAGAUAAAGUUUCUCUGUUUUUGAGGCAGAGUCUCACUCUGUCACCAG
rnacentral:lncRNA from 10 species